GACCCAGUAGUGAACGGAUCAUACCUGCUUUCUUUGUUCCUAGUUUCUCUAGUAAAAGCAGGAGCCCCCGGUUCGACUCCGGGCUGGGUCA